AGCAGAUGAUGGUUUUUUCUCAUGAUGGGCUGCAGGUGCCACUGUGGGCAGUGGCAGUAACGCCAAUGGCUCUGCUGAUGCCAGGAA
ensembl:snoRNA